rnacentral:tRNA from 2 species
GUGAGCGUAGCUCAGUUGGUUGGUAGCACCGGGUUGUGGCCUCGGAGGUCGUGGGUUCAAGUCCCAUCGCUCACCCCA